AUUGAAAACCCAGAUGGAGAGAGAUAUGGACGCUGACAAGCAGAGAAGGGGAAAGUAUUAAACUUGAAGAGUCGAUUCAAGAAUUGUCACAUGGCAAGGGACCCUACUUCCAGCAGCCAAUAUCUCUUACGGGUGGCGCAUCCAUGGCAUCGCCUAUGGGCAGCUACAGCAAACAAGCAACGCAAGGACGACAGAGGCAUGUGCCCCUCCAAACGAAUUGGCCUUGUUAUGUUAACCACCGUCACCCAGUCACCUCCCCCUGCUGUGCUUGUAAUUGUAUUAAGUGAGAGGCACGUGCACCCUUUACGCUUGGGACUGUUCAGUACACAUCCUUGUUCGUUGUUCCAUUCAGAGAACCUUUCUAGCAGAAGUGAGAUCCCGAUGAUGGGCAGCUUCAUUUGUCGACGGCGGUAAUGAUUGCCACUGCUAGUUGUAGUAACAGGAAAGGAGAAACAAGAAUAGCCGGAUCAACAAAAUUCAGCUGCAUUCCCACAUUUCAAUCAGCUACUCAACUGUAGUCCCUCCUACUAUUACAACUAGCAGAUUGAAGGGAAUUUAGAAGCGGAUUGCGGAAACAGGUGGCGGUGGUGGGGUUAGUUGGUUGUGGGAAUUAACAGGCAGGCGUACUAAAUCAUCGAAUGAUUGAACAAAUUGGAAAGGCGGGCAGCGGUAAAAGAGUACUCUAUACUCUUUGGAAAAUCACAAUCAAAAUUAGCACCGCCUCCGGCCGGAGGGGGCGGGGGGAUUGGUCGGGUGUGUUGUUAGAAUGUUAGUUUUUCGGUUAUGGGUUUGUGUAGUGGAAAACUGGAUAGCUAUUACAUUUGGGGAGGUGGGGGUGGGGGUGGUCCUCCUCCUCUGAAGUUUCAUCUUCAUCCCCAGACCUAUUGAAAUGGUAGUUGUGGAUUGCUGGUGUGGUAGCAUCGCUCACCCGUUCCCGUUAGAAGGAAGGAGAAAAACAGGAGGCUGCGGAGGAGUAGUUCCUUUUUUGCUUAGAAUAUGCGGACAAAAAUGCCCUCUCACUCAGAUUACUGCCAUUCGUGUAAAUUGACUUUUUAGUUGUAAAAUCGGAUAAACUGGCCAAAAGGGUUAUGAGUGCAUAAUUUUACAAGUUUGAGGGCUCAAAAUUGUCUAAAAUAGUUAAGGGACUUAAUUUUACUUAAACUAAAAGUUCAAGGGCCAAAUGGAUAAUUUGCUCUUCUUUUUAUCUUCUCUUUUUCCUCCUCAUUUUUCCCAAA